rnacentral:ncRNA from 1 species
AAAUGUUACUAGGGGUGUCUUGAAAAAAAGACUGAGAUGCGAAUGGCAGACCCUUUGAACCUGUAAGUUCAUGCUUGCGUAGGGAAGUUGACAAAAAAUUCG